rnacentral:rRNA from 1 species
UACGGGGGGGGGCAAGCGUUGUUCGGAAUUACUGGGCGUAAGGGCUCGUAGGUGGCCAACUAAGUCAGACGUGAAAUCCCUCGGCUUAACCGGGGAACUGCGUCUGAUACUGGAUGGCUUGAGUUUGGGAGAGGGAUGCGGAAUUCCAGGUGUAGCGGUGAAAUGCGUAGAUAUCUGGAGGAACACCGGUGGCGAAGGCGGCAUCCUGGACCAAUACUGACACUGAGGAACGAAAGCCAGGGGAGCAAACGGG